GAUGAACGCUGGCGGCGUGCCUAAUACAUGCAAGUCGAGCGAACGGACGAGAAGCUUGCUUCUCUGAUGUUAGCGGCGGACGGGUGAGUAACACGUGGAUAACCUACCUAUAAGACUGGGAUAACUUCGGGAAACCGGAGCUAAUACCGGAGAAUAUUUUGAACCGCAUGGUUCAAAAGUGAAAGACGGUCUUGCUGUCACUUAUAGAUGGAUCCGCGCUGCAUUAGCUAGUUGGUAAGGUAACGGCUUACCAAGGCAACGAUGCAUAGCCGACCUGAGAGGGUGAUCGGCCACACUGGAACUGAGACACGGUCCAGACUCCUACGGGAGGCAGCAGUAGGGAAUCUUCCGCAAUGGGCGAAAGCCUGACGGAGCAACGCCGCGUGAGUGAUGAAGGUCUCCGGAUCGUAAAACUCUGUUAUUAGGGAAGAACAUAUGUGUAAGUAACUGUGCACAUCUUGACGGUACCUAAUCAGAAAGCCACGGCUAACUACGUG
rnacentral:rRNA from 1 species